CGGGAAGCCAGUGCCACCACCCAUCAGUGCUAGUGUCGGAGUGUUGUGGAGUGCCUCAUCAUUAUUUUCGUUUUACAAGCCUACUGACACAGGAUUUCAUCAAUAUCAACUAUACCAGAAGUAAUGGUGUCGGUGUCGACCUGGGGCACUGCUGAAGUUAGUGACUGGCUAACAAGAAUAGGACUACACAACUAUGUUCAAGUUUUUAUAGACAAUGAAAUGGAAGGGCAAGACAUUAUAGACAUCAACGAGAAGAUGAUAGGGAAGCUGAUUCCUCCAGUGGGAAAACAACUUCUCUUCUUUCGGGAGCAGGCUACUUUGAAGGACCCAACUAGUCUUUCAGUGCUGGAUACCCAACCUAAAGGUGGAAGAACGUCACAGCCAACUCAUGACGCAGUGGAAGCAAGAGCAAGUACUCCAGUGAGCAGUAUAUGUGGAGAGCCAUCGUUAUCAUCUCUAACAGACACUUUACUGUCUGAUGAGGAGGA